AAUGGCUGCAGUAAUUUGACUGUACAAAGGUAGCAUAAUCAUUAGUUUUUUAAUUAAAAGCUUGUAUGAAAGGUUGGACGAGAUAAAAUCUGUCUCUUUUUAAAAUAAUUAGAAUUUAAUUUUUAAGUUAAAAAGCUUAAAUUUAUAUAAAAGACGAGAAGACCCUAUAGAGUUUAAUAUUUUUUAUUUAUUAAUAAAUUUAGAUUUAUUGAUUUUAUUUUUUAAAAAUUAUUUUAUUGGGGUAAUAGAAAGAUUAGAGAAAUUCUUUUUUAUAAAAUCAUUAAUUUAUGAAAAUUUUGAUCCAUUAAAUUUUGAAUAUAAGAUUAAAUUACCUUAGGGAUAACAGCGUAAUUUUUUUUAAGAGUUCAUAUCGAUAAAAAAGUUUGCGACCUCGAUGUUGGAUUAAAGAUUAAUUUAGGUGUAGAAGUUUAAAUUUUUGGUCUGUUCGACCAUUGAAUCUUUACAUGAUCUGAGUUCAAACCGGUGUAAGCCAGG
rnacentral:rRNA from 1 species